rnacentral:rRNA from 1 species
GACGAACGCUGGCGGCGUGCCUAAUACAUGCAAGUAGAACGCUGAAGGAGGAUCUUGCUUCUCUGGAUGAGUUGCGAACGGGUGAGUAACGCGUAGGUAACCUGCCUCGUAGCGGGGGAUAACUAUUGGAAACGAUAGCUAAUACCGCAUAAUAGUAGAUGUUGCAUGACAUUUUCUUAAAAGGUGCAAUUUCAUCACUACCAGAUGGACCUGCGUUGUAUUAGCUAGUUGGUGGGGUAACGGCUCACCAACGCGACGAUAGAUAGACGACCUGAGAGGGUGAUCGGCCACAAUGGGACUGGGACCCGGCCCAGCCUCCUACGGGAGGGCGCAGUAGGGAAUCUUCGGCAAUGGACGGAAGUCUGACCGAGCAACGCCGGGUGAGUGAAGGAGGUUGUCGGAUCGUAAAGCUCUGUUGUAAGGGAAGAACGAGUGUGAGAGUGGAAAGUUCACACUGUGACGGUAUCUAACCAGAAAGGCACGGCUAACUACGUG